rnacentral:snoRNA from 1 species
AUCUGAUGAUGAGGACAACUAACACACAAUCUCUUAAACCUCUCCCAGUAGUCAUAUAAGCUCUCACCUUGUUGCUGCCUAAUUCCAGAGAUGUCCUUUCUGAUUUU